GUCAUCUAAUUAGUGACGCGCAUGAAUGGAUCAACGAGAUUCCCACUGUCCCUAUCUACUAUCUAGCGAAACCACAGCCAAGGGAACGGGCUUGGCAGAAUCAGCGGGGAAAGAAGACCCUGUUGAGCUUGACUCUAGUUUGACAUUGUGAAAAGACAUAGGAGGUGUAGAAUAGGUGGGAGCUUCGGCGCCGGUGAAAUACCACUACUCCUAUUGUUUUUUUACUUAUUCAAUGAAGCGGGGCUGGAUUUACGUCCAACUUCUGGUUUUAAGGUCCUUCGCGGGCCGACCCGGGUUGAAGACAUUGUCAGGU
rnacentral:ncRNA from 1 species